GAUGUUAAAAGCUCUGUUUUUAUUAUUAGAAAGAAAAAAAAACCAUGAAUGAACACGGCCUCCUCCUCACACCGAACAGUUGUAUUUAAUGUACAGAUCACAGAGGCAGGUAACUCAUACAUGGUUAGUAGCAAAUGGAGAAAUCAAAGCAAAAUAAGUUAAAAAAGAGACACAGCAGAGGAGAAUAUUCCUCCUAAAUCAGCCUUUUUAAACUGCUGCAGGGCACCCUGGAGGGUCCCAUGAAAUGCCAGGCACAUGCUUGUCAGGAUUUCUGAUGCAGGUGUGGCCCCACCAAGGGCAUACAUGGGUUCGCCUCUGCCUCCUUGGAGUUUAAAUUAUCACUACUCAGAGAUGUCUGCUGCUCACGAAGCACUUACCACAGGCUAGGCAUCACGCUAGGUAUCUCAUCUGUGUUGUCUUGUUUAAUUCCCAAAAAAUCCUGGGAAGUAGGGAUUAUUUUCCCCAUUUUAGAGAUAAAAAUACUGAGUCCCAGAGAAUUUAAGAAGCUUGCCUGGGCCGGGUGUUGUGGCUCAUGCCUGUAAUCCCAGCACUUUGGGAGGCUGAGGUGGAUGGAUCACCUGAGGUCAGGAGUUCAAGACCAGCCUGGCCAACAUGGUGAAACCCCGUCUCUACUAAAAAUACAAAAUAUUGCCUGUGUGUGGUGGUGCAUGCCUGUAAUCCCAGGUACUUGGGAGGCUGAGGCAGGAGAAUUGCUUGAACCUGGGAGGCGGAGGUUGCAGUGAGCCAAGAUCGUGCCACUGCGCUCCAGCCUGGGUGACAGCGCAAGACUCUGUCUCAAAAAUUAAUUAAUUAAUUAAUUAAUUAGUAAAAAUAAGCUCGCCUGAAGAUAUGCAGUUUAAGGUAACUCAAAACCUGGCCAUUUCAGAAGAUUUUGUAAGAUCUUGGUUAAAAGUGAAAAGGUUGGCCCCGAAAUGGGGGAUUUGGAAUGUUGAGGCCAAGCUUUGAAGAGCGGAAAGGAGAAGAGAUGCAAAACAUUUCCUGAGCACUUACUAUGGGCUGGUGCAAUACAAGGCAUCUUUUUACCGUGUCCUGUUCAGUCCUCACGAUUAUGCUGUAAGAUGAGGAUUGCUAGUUUUACCUGAAGGGUGAGGAAACUGAAGCUCAGAGGGGAAGGAGGAAUGUACUUGCCCAAGGUUGCCAGCUAGUAAGCCCAGAGCCCAGAUCUGAGCCAGGUGCAUCUGGCUCCAGAACCCACAGCUACUGCUGCAGCUGGUCAUGGCACCAGCCUGUGAGCUGGAACCAGCCUGUCCCAGGAAUCACAGUGCCUGGGAUGUGACCCCAGCUUUUCCAGUGACUUGCUAUGUGACCAUGAGCCCAUCACUUCCCUCUCUGGGUCUCAGUUUCCUCAUCUGUAAAAUGAAGGGGUGAACUCCAAUGCCCCCUUG
rnacentral:lncRNA from 1 species